UGAAUCCAUAGGUUAAUGAGGCGAACCGGGGGAACUGAAACAUCUAAGUACCCCGAGGAAAAGAAAUCAACCGAGAUUCCCCCAGUAGCGGCGAGCGAACGGGGAGCAGCCCAGAGUCUGAAUCAGUAUGUGUGUUAGUGGAAGCGUCUGGAAAGACGCGCGAUACAGGGUGACAGCCCCGUACACAAAAAUGCACAUAUUGUGAGCUCGAUGAGUAGGGCGGGACACGUGGUAUCCUGUCUGAAUAUGGGGGGACCAUCCUCCAAGGCUAAAUACUCCUGAC
rnacentral:rRNA from 1 species